GACGAACGCUGGCGGCGUGCCUAACACAUGCAAGUCGAACGGGGUAGAGAGCUUCGGUUUUCUACUUAGUGGCGAACGGGUGAGUAACGCGUGAGAAACCUGCCUUUCAGUGGGGGACAACAGUUGGAAACGACUGCUAAUACCGCAUAAUGUAUUCGGGGGGCAUCCCCUGGAUACCAAAGCUUUAUGUGCUGAAAGAUGGUCUCGCGUCUGAUUAGCUAGAUGGCGGGGUAACGGCCCACCCUGGCGACGACCAGUAGCCGGUCUGAGAGGAUGAACGGCCACAUUGGGACUGAGAUACGGCCCAGACUCCUACGGGAGGCAGCAGUGGGGAAUAUUGGGCAAUGGGGGAAACCCUGACCCAGCAACGCCGCGUGAAGGAAGAAGGCCUUCGGGUUGUAAACUUCUUUUAGCAGGGACGAAGAACGUGACGGUACCUGCAGAAAAAGCAACGGCUAACUACGUGCCAGCCGCCGCAGUAAGAC
rnacentral:rRNA from 1 species